AAGAAACCAAUAUAGUUGGUGAACUUCCUGAGUCACAGAAGAAGGCUCUUGAAGAGCUUAAACAGCUUAUUCAGGAAGCCCUUAACAAGCACGAAUUCACUGCUCCACCCCCAUCACCAACCCCACCGCCCAAGCAAGAAGAAAAACCUGUUGCCGAGGAAAAGAAAGAGGAAGAGAAGAAAGAAGAAAAAGAAGAAGAGAAACCUGCUGCUGAAACUUCAGAAGAACCCAAAGUCGAAACUGAAGGAAAAUCUGAAGCCUCUGAAAAAGUCGAAACUGAAGAAAAAUCUGAAGCCUCUGAAAAAGUCGAAACUGAAACACCCGCCCCUGUUGAAGUCAAGGAAGAAGAGAA
rnacentral:lncRNA from 1 species